CCUACGGGAGGCAGCAGUGGGGGAUAUUGCACAAUGGGCGAAAGCCUGAUGCAGCGACGCCGCGUGAGGGAAGACGGUCUUCGGAUUGUAAACCUCUGUCUUUGGGGAACAAAGGCGGAGACGCGUCUCCGGAUGAGUGUACCCGAAGAAAAAGCAUCGGCUAACUCCGUGCCAGCAGCCGCGGUAAUACGGAGGAUGCGAGCGUUAUCCGGAUUUAUUGGGUUUAAAGGGUGCGCAGGCGGGAGAUCAAGUCAGCGGUAAAAUGUCGGGGCUCAACCCCGGCCGGCCGUUGAAACUGGUUUUCUAGAGUUGGAGAGAAGUAUGCGGAAGUCGUGGUGUAGCGGUGAAAUGCAUAGAUAUCACGAAGAACUCCGAUUGCGAAGGCAGCAUACCGGCUCCAUACUGACGCUGAGGCACGAAAGCGUGGGGAUCGAACAGGAUUAGAUACCCUGUAGUC
rnacentral:rRNA from 1 species